GACGAACGCUGGCGGCGUGCCUAAUACAUGCAAGUAGAACGCUGAAGAGAGGAGCUUGCUCUUCUUGGAUGAGUUGCGAACGGGUGAGUAACGCGUAGGUAACCUGCCUGGUAGCGGGGGAUAACUAUUGGAAACGAUAGCUAAUACCGCAUAAUAUUGACUAUUGCAUGAUAGUUGAUUAAAAGGUGCAAUUGCACCACUACCAGAUGGACCUGCGUUGUAUUAGCUAGUUGGUGGGGUAACGGCUCACCAAGGCGACGAUACAUAGCCGACCUGAGAGGGUGAUCGGCCACACUGGGACUGAGACACGGCCCAGACUCCUACGGGAGGCAGCAGUAGGGAAUCUUCGGCAAUGGACGGAAGUCUGACCGAGCAACGCCGCGUGAGUGAAGAAGGUUUUCGGAUCGUAAAGCUCUGUUGUAAGAGAAGAACGAGUGUGAGAGUGGAAAGUUUCACACUGUGACGGUAUCUACCCA
rnacentral:rRNA from 1 species